UUACUUGAAAUCCAAGCGCUGGGUGGAAGGGUCCCUGUGAAGAACCCGGUGGCAUCUUCAAGGCCUUCUGCGCACACAGAUGUGAAGCUCAGACACCGAUCCCCAGCUUGGACACCUUCUGUGCCUAUCUUUCUGAGACCACUUAUUUCCGUGACUCCCCUUGAGUUUUAAAGUGUGAGUCAUUGUUAAAGGGGAAUUGCUAGCAUGAAAACAAUGGCUGACCUGAGAGCACUGUUGCGCAUGUCACAAGCCAAGGGUUGGGCUGGAUCACUCUGGGUGCCCCUUCCAGCUCUACCGUUCUACAAUUCAGCGACUUCUCCUCUGCUGGUCUCGUGCUUGUCAAUCGGCCUUCAGCAUGAUCAACUGGGAUCCGGAUUCGAAUCCCCAUUGAGCUGCGGCACUGGCUAGCUGACCUUGAGCUGGUUCCUUUUCUCUUUCAGCCUGGCCUACUCGGGGCUGAAGUGGACAGAAGAAGUGCCAUGAACAAUGUAUAAAUGUAACACUGAAAGAAAAAAAAACCUGCAGCGAGGUUCGUUUGCCGGACAAUACCUCUGUAUUCAAAGAAAUGCACUCGGAAGGGAUACUUGGAACCAGGCCUUGUGCUAAACUCUUUGCCUGUCCCUGCUCAAUCUUGUAGAACAGUUUCAAAGUGAUUAAAAAAGGAAGCAGGAAAAUGCUCGGGUAUACUUUUUAUCUGUAGAAAACAAUGCCGUCCUUACAAGCAGAGGGUAAGGAUGACCUUGGCUCCCAGAUGUCUCCAGCACCAAUGAGAGAUGAAACUCAGUGGAAGCAUUCAUUGGGGUACAAAGCUGGUUUGUUCCUUUUCUUGGCUUCCAUGAUUUUUGCUCCUCUCGAGUGUCACUCGAUUUGACGUUAAUCUUUUUUCCAUCUAUAUCUCGAGCAGCCAGGAAUAAUAAAGCGUCGCUUUCAUGCGGCCGAUCUCCAGUUUUCAACGCGUUCCUCGUCCAUUGUCUGAAGUCAGUCCAUGUGCAGCGAAGCGGUGGAGCUGGCUUUGUGAACCGGCGGGUUACACAGCCUUUCGUUCUAUUCCUGAGACGCUGCGUGAUAAUUCUCCCUUUUAUUGCUUUUUGCACAUGUGUUGAACAAAGAACAGGAGAAGAACAUCACUGGUAUGGGAGGAAAAGGAAUCUUUAAAAAGCUGAUGCAUUAUUCUAAAAAGUUUGACAGGGAUCCUUCGUUUUUCUUUUUUCUUUAAAGGUUCAGAAGGGGAAGCAGCCCCUGCCCAGAGGGAUGUGGUAUGGGAGAACGAAAUGCAGCUUUUAAGGAAUGAAAUGCAACUUUUA